ACGCUCGACACCUACGGGAGCAGCAGUGGGGAAUAUUGCACAAUGGGGGAAACCCUGAUGCAGCGACGCCGCGUGGAGGAAGAAGGUCUUCGGAUUGUAAACUCCUGUUGUUGGGGAAAAAGAGGAUGGUACCCAACAAGGAAGUGACGGCUAACUACGUGCUAGCAGCCGCGGUAAUCUGAGCGGGCUGGCAAGGC
rnacentral:rRNA from 1 species